CCCGAGCGCGCCCCACGCCCCAGUGCCCGGCAACUUGGCCGCGCAGAUCCGGGACGGGUCUCGCCCUAAUUUUUCUCCGGGAGCUGAAGUAAGGGGAGGCCAAGAUUCCAAACGCCCCCAAAUGCUUCCAAAGGAGAAAGCCACACCACACCGGCUUUCAGGAUCUUCGUUCCCCAACCAGGGAUGGAACCUGGGCCCCAGCAGUGAAAGCGCUGAGUCCUAACCACUGGACCACCAGGUCACCACAGAGCAUUAAGGAGCGUUCCCUGUGCUAUACAGCAGGUUCUCAUUAUAAAACCCUUUUCCUUUGUCCUAUCAUUUCUCCACAAAUUUAUUGUUUUUUUCUUGAAGAUGCCAUAUUAGCCAGAGUUCUAAGUCAUUGCUUCGAGUUACUCUUCGUUGAAGUUUCUCAUGUGUGAUAUGCACUGCAUGUGUUAAUAAACUUGUUUGUUUUUCUCUCGUUAAUCCAUCUUUCUGUUAAAGAGCCCUAGCUGAGGACCUAAGAUGGAUAGAGGUAAAUUUCUGCCUACCCUACAAUGGAAACAACCCAAAUGUCUAUCAACAGAAAAUGGAUAAACCAAAUGUGGUGUAUCCACACAAUUGAAUAUUAUUUGCCCAUAAAAAGAAUGGAGUAUUUAUAAAUGCUACAACUUCAAUGAACCUUGAAAACAUUAUGCUAAAUGAAAGAAGCCAGUCAGAAAAGCCCACAUAUUAUAUAAUUAUAUUUUUAUGAAAGUCCUGAAAAGGGUAAUCUAUAGAGACAGAAAGUAGAUUAGUGGUUGCUUAGGGCUAGGAAAGGGAUGACUGGGGGUAGGAGGAUGAUAGCGAAUAGGUAUGAGGUUUCUUUUUGAGGUGAUGGAAAUGUUCUAAAAUUGACUGUAGUGAUGGUUGCACAUAUCUGUGAAUAUACUAAAAACCACUGAAUUGUACACUUUUAAUGAGUUAAUUAUAUCAUACGUGAAUUAUAUCUCAAUGUGAAUUUUAAAAACAAAAUACUUUUGUUUUUUAAAAAAGUAAACUAACAUUUUUGGUUAGUUUCAUCAUAGUGUCACUUCAUAUAGUGUUGCUGUUACACAAGCUAUUAUUUUUUCUUAAUUGGACUAUAGUUGAUUUAUAAUACUGUGUUAAUUUCAUGUGUACAGCAAAAUGUUUUAGUUAUACAUAUAUAUAUUCUUUUUCAGAUUCUUUUCCAUUAUAGGUUAUUAUAAGAUAUUGAAUAUAGUUCCGUGUGCUAUAAAAUAAAUCCUUAUUGAUUAUUUUGUAUAUAGCGCUAUGUAUCUGUUAAUCCCAUACUCCUCAUUUAUCCCUCUCCCACUUUCCCCUUUGGAAUAAGUUUGUUUUCUAUGUCAGUGAGUGUUUCUGUUUUGUAAAUAAGUUCAUUUGUAUUAGUUUUUAGAUUCCACGUAUGUGAUAUCACAUAAUAUUUAUCUUCGACAAGCUGUUAUUAAACCAGCCUAUCCUUGUUCAUCAGUUAUGAAUUGGGGGCCUGAACGAAUGAGCUUUCAUUUAUCUUGGCUAAUUAUCAUCUCUGUGAGAUUCAUCCUUCUUCUGGCCAUUCUAUUGCCUUUUGGAUUCUGAUUAUGUUUUCCACUGGGCAAGCUAUCUGAAAAUCAGAUCACUAUAUUCAGUUUUUUAUUCAUCAUUUAUAUUCAAAUGCUGGACUAGUCCCAUGGAUUCUAAUCUUGUCUCCAGUUUUGUCUCCCACAAUCCAUUCUCCUUACUGAAGUUUGUGAUGUUAAAAAAAAAAACAACAAAAAGAACCAGAAAUUUGGGACUUCCCUGGUGGCGCAGUGGUUAAGAACCCGCCUGCCAAUGCAGGGGACAGUUUCAAUCCCUGGUCCAGGAAGAUCGCACAUGCUGAUGAGCAACUAAGCCCAUGUGCCACUACUACUGAGCCCGCGUGCCACAACUACUGAAGCUCACGCACCUAGAGCCCAUGCUCCACAACAAGAGAAGCCACUGCAAUGAGAAGCCCGCGCACCACAACGAAGAGUAACCCCUGCUCGCCGCAACUAGAGAAAGCCCGUGCACAGCAACGAAGACCCAAGGCAGCCAAAAAUAAAUAUAUAAAUGUAUUAAAAUGUAAAAAUCUGUAUUAAAAAACCCAGAAAUUUCAUCAGACCACUCCCUUGCUUAAAAUCUUUUAAAGGAUUUUCAUUGCCUUCAGGAUAAAGGGCAAACUCCUUACUUGGCUUACAAGGCCCUACACUGAUGUGGUCCAAUCCUCCAGCCUUAUCUCUUACCACUUCUCUAUCCCGCUUUGUGUAUCUGCCAUAAACUGACCCUUUUCUCUCAACCUCAAAAUAAGCUGCUUUUUGUGGAACAUUUUUCUUUCACCAAAUAUUUACUGAGCCCCAACUAUAUUGCCAGGUGCUGUUCCUGAGCUCUCAUGGAACUUACAUUCUUCUUUUUUAAUAUAUAAACUUAUUUAUUUGUAUUUUUAUUUAUUUUUGGCUGCGUUUGGUGUUUGUUGCUGCGUGCGGUCUUUCUCUAGUUGCCACGAGCGGGGGCUACUCUUCCUUGCGGUUCGCGGGCUUCUUAUUGCGGAUCACGGGCUCUAGGCGUGAGGGCUUCAACAGUUGUGGCUCCCGGGCUCUAGAGCGCAGGCUCAGUAGUUGUGGCACAUGAGCUUAGUUGCUCCGCAGCAUAUGGGAUCUUCCCCCACCAGGGCUCGAACCUGUGUCCCCUGCAUUGGCAGGCGGAUUCUUAACCACUGCACCACCAGGGAAGUCCCAUGGGCAACAUUUAUAAAAAAAAUUAGAUAACAAGGUAUCCCCACAAACCCCAAAAUACAAGCAAUGAGAAUGAACACCGAAAGUCACAGGACCUGCUUGUUAUGGGUGUCUAUGCAGGAGAGAGCUGAGGAAGCAACCGGGGUGUCAGAGAAUAUGAGAACAGGAGAAGCUCCAAACAGAAAGCCUGGCAGGCCAAUCUGACAAUGGCAGCUGAAACAGAGAGAGGUUUUGCACCCCCCCAGUGGCGGGCAAAGACAAGGGCCUGUGCAUGUCAGUAAGGACUGAAGAGUUUGGAGUAACUUCACCCCCUUUGAACUCUCCAAACUGACUAUCCAGGGCUUCCUUUCAGGAUAGGCCCCAUACUGAAGAAAGACUGAUGAGAGAGGAAUCAAAGUUGAGCAGGACAGGGACAACAGAGACAAAGGAAGAGAA